rnacentral:rRNA from 1 species
CACGUAGGGCGCGAGCGUUGUCCGGAAUUAUUGGGCGUAAAGAGCUCGUAGGCGGUUUGUCGCGUCUGCUGUGAAAACCUGAGGCUCAACCUCGGGCUUGCAGUGGGUACGGGCAGACUAGAGUGCGGUAGGGGUGACUGGAAUUCCUGGUGUAGCGGUGGAAUGCGCAGAUAUCAGGAGGAACACCGAUGGCGAAGGCAGGUCACUGGGCCGCAACUGACGCUGAGGAGCGAAAGCAUGGGGAGCGAACAGG